CAGCAGCCGCGGUAAUACGUAGGUCCCGAGCGUUGUCCGGAUUUAUUGGGCGUAAAGCGAGCGCAGGCGGUUAGAUAAGUCUGAAGUUAAAGGCUGUGGCUUAACCAUAGUACGCUUUGGAAACUGUUUAACUUGAGUGCAAGAGGGGAGAGUGGAAUUCCAUGUGUAGCGGUGAAAUGCGUAGAUAUAUGGAGGAACACCGGUGGCGAAAGCGGCUCUCUGGUCUGUAACUGACGCUGAGGCUCGAAAGCGUGGGGGGCAAACAGGAUUAGAUACCCCCGUAGUCCCUGUCUCUUAUACA
rnacentral:rRNA from 1 species